GAUCAUGGCUCAAGACGAACGCUGGCGGCGUGCUUAACACAUGCAAGUCGAACGGAGCACCCUUGACUGAGGUUUCGGCCAAAUGAUAGGAAUGCUUAGUGGCGGACUGGUGAGUAACGCGUGAGGAACCUGCCUUUCAGAGGGGGACGAACAGUUGGAAACGGAACUGCUAAUACCGCCAUGAUGCGUAACUGGGACGAUCCCGGACUACGCCAAAGAAUUUAUUCGCUGAAAGAAUGGCCUCGCG
rnacentral:rRNA from 1 species